GAAUUCGAUUAGAGUUUGAUCCUGGCUCAGGAUGAACGCUGGCGGUCUGCUUAACACAUGCAAGUCGAACGGGGGUAGAAAUACCCUAGUGGCGGACGGGUGAGUAACGCGUGAGAAUCUGCCUUCAGGUUCGGGACAACCACUGGAAACGGUGGCUAAUACCGGAUAGGCUUCACGGUGAAAGAUUUAUCGCCUGAAGAGGAGCUCGCGUCUGAUUAGCUAGUUGGUAGGGUAAAAGCCUACCAAGGCGACGAUCAGUAGCUGGUCUGAGAGGAUGAUCAGCCACACUGGGACUGAGACACGGCCCAGACUCCUACGGGAGGCAGCAGUGGGGAAUUUUCCGCAAUGGGCGAAAGCCUGACGGAGCAAGACCGCGUGAGGGAGGAAGGCUCUUGGGUUGUAAACCUCUUCUCUCAGGGAAGAAGAAAGUGACGGUACCUGAGGAAUCAGCCUCGGCUAACUCCGUGCCAGCAGCCGCGGUAAUACGGAGGAGGCAAGCGUUAUCCGGAAUUAUUGGGCGUAAAGCGUCCGCAGGUGGCUUGCUCAAGUCUGCUGUCAAAGACCGGGGCUUAACUCCGGAAAGGCAGUGGAAACUGACAAGCUAGAGGGCUCUAGGGGUAGAGGGAAUUCCCGGUGUAGCGGUGAAAUGCGUAGAGAUCGGGAAGAACAUCGGUGGCGAAAGCGCUCUACUGGAGAGCAACUGACACUCAGGGACGAAAGCUAGGGGAGCGAAUGGGAUUAGAUACCCCAGUAGUCCUAGCCGUAAACGACGGAUACUAGGCGUGGCUCGUAUCGACCCGAGCCGUGCCGUAGCUAACGCGUUAAGUAUCCCGCCUGGGGAGUACGCACGCAAGUGUGAAACUCAAAGGAAUUGACGGGGGCCCGCACAAGCGGUGGAGUAUGUGGUUUAAUUCGAUGCAACGCGAAGAACCUUACCAGGGCUUGACAUGUCCGGAACCCUGCUGAAAGGUGGGGGUGCCUUCGGGAGCCGGAACACAGGUGGUGCAUGGCUGUCGUCAGCUCGUGUCGUGAGAUGCUGGGUUAAGUCCCGCAACGAGCGCAACCCUCGUUCUUAGUUGCCAGCAUUAAGUUGGGCACUCUAGGGAGACUGCCGGUGACAAACCGGAGGAAGGUGGGGAUGACGUCAAGUCAGCAUGCCCCUUACGUCCUGGGCUACACACGUACUACAAUGCGACGGACAAAGGGCAGCGAGCGAGCGAUCGUCAGCUAAUCCCAUAAACCGUGGCUCAGUUCAGAUCGCAGGCUGCAACUCGCCUGCGUGAAGGAGGAAUCGCUAGUAAUUGCAGGUCAGCAUACUGCAGUGAAUCCGUUCCCGGGCCUUGUACACACCGCCCGUCACACCAUGGGAGCUGGUUUUGCCCGAAGUCGUUACCCUAACCCGCAAGGGAAGGGGACGCCGAAGGCAGGGCUAGUGACUGGGGUGAAGUCGUAACAAGGUAGCCGUACCGGAAGGUGUGGCUGGAUCACCUCCUUU
rnacentral:rRNA from 1 species